GCUUAGCUCAGCUGGGAGAGCACCUGCCUUACAAGCAGGGGGUCACAGGUUCGAUCCCUGUAGCUC
rnacentral:tRNA from 1 species